rnacentral:misc_RNA from 1 species
GUGAUAAUGGAGCUUCUGGAAUAACAGAGACACCAGUAGGUGGUCGUGGUGAAAAGCAAGCUGCAGUAAGCAGUGAAAGUGACUAUGAUGUUGACCUUGCUGAUGAUGGUGUCGGGUCAGUUUCUUCUAAAGAGGACAGAAGACCACGAUCCAUGGAUGUGGAGCCACCCAGUAAUCUACCCAAUAAUGCUCCUCAACCUGCU